UACGUAGGGUCCGAGCGUUGUCCGGAAUUACUGGGCGUAAAGAGCUCGUAGGUGGUUUGUCGCGUUGUUCGUGAAAACUCACAGCUUAACUGUGGGCGUGCGGGCGAUACGGGCAGACUUGAGUACUGCAGGGGAGACUGGAAUUCCUGGUGUAGCGGUGGAAUGCGCAGAUAUCAGGAGGAACACCGGUGGCGAAGGCGGGUCUCUGGGCAGUAACUGACGCUGAGGCAUGAAAGCGUGGGUAGCAAACAGG
rnacentral:rRNA from 1 species